UACAGAGGGGGCAAGCGUUAUUCGGAAUUAUUGGGCGUAAAGGGCGCGUAGGCGGCUUUGCAAGUGGCGGGUGAAAUCCCUCGGCUUAACCGAGGAACUGCCUGCCAGACUGUGAGGCUUGAGACCGGGAGAGGUGAGUGGAAUUCCUAGUGUAGCGGUGAAAUGCGUAGAUAUUGGGAGGAACACCAGUGGCGAAGGCGGCUCACUGGACCGGUACUGACGCUGAGGCGCGAAAGCGUGGGUAGCAAACAGG
rnacentral:rRNA from 1 species